GUGCAGCAGGCGCGAAACCUCCGCAAUGCACGCAAGUGCGACGGGGGAACCCCAAGUGCCACUCUUAACGGGGUGGCUUUUCAGAAGUGUAAAAAGCUUCUGGAAUAAGGGCUGGGCAAGACCGGUGCCAGCCGCCGCGGUAACACCGGCAGCUCAAGUGGUAGCCGCUUUUAUUGGGCCUAAAGCGUCCGUAGCCGGUCUGAUAAGUCUCUGGUGAAAUCCCACAGCUUAACUGUGGGAAUUGCUGGAGAUACUAUCAUGACUCGAGGUCGGGAGAGGCUGGAGGUACUCCCAGGGUAGGGGUGAAAUCCUGUAAUCCUGGGAGGACCACCUGUGGCGAAGGCGUCCAGCUGGAACGAACCUGACGGUGAGGGACGAAAGCCAGGGGCGCGAACCGGAUUAGAUACCCGGGUAGUCC
rnacentral:rRNA from 1 species